rnacentral:rRNA from 1 species
UACGUAGGGGGCAAGCGUUGUCCGGAAUUAUUGGGCGUACAGAGCGCGUAGGCGGUCCGAUAAUUCGGCUGUGAAAGUCAGGGGCUCAACCCUUGAAAGCCGGCCGAUACUGUCGGACUAGAGUCCGGAAGAGGCAAGUGGAAUUCCCGGUGUAGCGGUGAAAUGCGCAGAUAUCGGGAGGAACACCAAUGGCGAAGGCAGCUUGCUGGGACGGUACUGACGCUGAGGCGCGAAAGCGUGGGGAGCAAACAGG